GUCGAGGGGGCGGUGGGUGUACGACAACGUGUCCCGGCCAUUGUACAACGGGCUCAAGUGCGCCUUCAUCUUCCCCGAGGUGGCCUGUGACAAGUAUGGCAGGAAGGAUGUCAUGUAUCAGCACUGGAGAUGGCAGCCUCAUGGAUGCGACCUCCCAAGGUAUGGUGAUUAUUACAGAUUUCCCAAGUAUUUUUAGAUCAAGCCCAAAAAGUUCAGCAUAUCUGAAGGUGCAGUUUUUGAAUGAUAAGAUCUGUCAGUACAAGUCAAGAAUUUUCCAAGGGUAGUAAAUGUUUUUGUUUUAUAGAAGCGUAAAAACACUGAGAUAAUCUGUAACUGGAUAAAAACACAGGAUACUACAGCAGAAAGGAAGAAAUAGUACUGACAUUGCAAAACUGAUCUCAUUAGAGUUGUUAGCUUGAGGGACUGGAGGCCAACAAGAAACUAAUUAAACAUGCACGGUACCUAAUUGACAGUGAAAGAUCCUACCUUUUAUUUACCAUUUGUACCAUUUCAAAAGCUUGUAUGUAAGAGUAGGAGAUUCAAAUUUAGCAUAACUUUGCAUGGUAGUUUUGACAUGCUGUCUGAAUUUUACUUUUUCAAAACAGAUUUGAUGCCAUCAAGCUGCUUGAAAAGCUGAGGAACAAGAGAUUGGUGUUUGUGGGUGACUCAGUCAACAGGAACCAAUGGGUGUCUCUCGUGUGCAUGGUGGAGGCCUCAAUACCUGAUGACAGGCUCAAGAUACGCAUCUUCAAUGGCUCACUCAUCUCCUUCAAGGCAUUGGUAUGCUUCCCUUCACAAAUCUACAGCCUACAAAAACAAACAUUUUUUGUUAGCCGGUUUGAACAUAUAAUCAUUUUUUUUCAGGAAUACAAUGCAACAAUAGAUUUCUACUGGUCGCCACUACUGGUGGAGUCUAAUAGCGACAACCCCAUUAUCCACCGGGUGGAGUACCGAAUUAUAAGGGCAGACAGAAUUGAGAAGCAUGCCAGUGUCUGGAGGGAUGCUGACAUCAUAGUCUUCAAUUCUUACCUGUGGUGGAGGAAGCAGAAGGAUGACAUGAGGAUGAAGGUCAUGUAAGUGCAUCUCUAUCCUUCCUAAUCAUAGCUCAUAGGUAUUGCACUGUCAGUUUCACAUACCAGAAAAAAAAGAUACCAGAUCUGGUAAUUUAAAAUGCACUAAUAACAUAGUAGUUACCAACUGCAAUCAGUGAAUAGGUUAUUAACACUUGCAUGUGCAGGUAUGGCUCAUUUGAAGAUGGUGAUGCAAAAUUAGAUGAAAUGGAAAUGGUCGAUGGUUUCGAGAUAGCUCUCAAGAAACUAACCGAAUGGCUUGGAGAGAAUAUUGACAGGAACAAGACUAGGAUCUUUUUUGCAGGAUCGUCACCAACACAUUCCUGGUGAGAGAGAUACCCAUGAAUCAUUUGCAACACCAAUACUACAAUACC
rnacentral:lncRNA from 1 species